rnacentral:lncRNA from 1 species
GGCCUAGCAGAUGACUCUUAGUUAGACUGGUACUAGUUAGGAUAUCACAUAAGGGGAAUCCCAUUCUAGGAGUUCUCCAAAGCCCUAUCCCAUAUAAAAGAGAAAAGCUAUAUUAACGCUCUAGCCCAAGAAUAGAUCUUAUGAAAAGAAAAGAACGAUCGUCAGCGGAGAUCGCAAUACGAAGUUUUUUAGACAUAAUC